AUGAAGGGAAAACGCCAAGGGAUACAUAGCAGACUACUUGAAACUAAUCCAAAAGCAUUAUUCAUGCCAUGCGCUUGUCAUAGCCUGAACCUUACUCUUAGUGAUAUGGAAAAAUCUUGCGGUAAAGCUGUUACCUUCUUUGGUGUUGUGCAAAGAAUUUAUAUAUUGUUUUCAAGCUCUACUAAAAGAUGGCAGCUAUUGCUUGAUCAUGUUCCAAAAAUGACAGUUAAGUCUUUGUGUAACACUGUGAUGGGAGAGUCGAAUAAAGAGUGUCCAGGCUAUCAGAUAUCAAGCACCCGAGUUAAGAAAAGCAUUACUGGAAUUGAAGAGAACUUCUACCGAUGA
rnacentral:rRNA from 1 species